rnacentral:tRNA from 1 species
ACAUUUUUAAUUCAAUUGGUAGAAUAGUAAUUUCCAAAAUUAAAUGAUAAAGGUUCAAGUCCUUUAAAAUGUG